rnacentral:ncRNA from 1 species
CAUGCCUAACACAUGCAAGUCGAACGAGGGCUUCGGCCCUAGUGGCGCACGGGUGAGUAACACGUGGGAACCUGCCUUUCGGUUCGGGAUAACGUCUGGAAACGGACGCUAACACCGGAUACGUCCUUCGGGAGAAAGUUUACGCCGAGAGAGGGGCCCGCGUCCGAUUAGGUAGUUGGUGGGGUAAUGGCCCCACCCAGCCCAACGAUCGGUAGCUGGUCUGAGAGGAUGAUCAGCCCCCCCGGGGACUGAAACACGGCCCCAAACUCCUACCGGAAGGAGCAUUUGGGGAAUAUUGGAAAAAGGGGGGCCAACCCUGAUCCCCCAAUG